rnacentral:tRNA from 4 species
GGAGAGUUGUCCGAGUUGGUCUAAGGAGCAUGAUUGGAAAUCAUGUAAACGAGGUUUCUCGUUUCAAGGGUUCGAAUCCCUUAUUCUCCG